ACGGCCAAUGAUAAUAGUGUGUCAUGAGAAGAACCAUGAUUAUUCCAAUUCUCUGUAACUGAGGUCCAAU
rnacentral:snoRNA from 1 species